rnacentral:rRNA from 1 species
UACGGAGGGGGCAAGCGUUGUUCGGAAUUACUGGGCGUAAAGGGCGCGCAGGCGGCUGCUCAAGUCAGGCGUGAAAGGCCUGGGCUCAACCCGGGAAUUGCGCUUGAGACUGGGCUGGCUUGAGUGCGGGAGAGGAUGGUGGAAUUCCCAGUGUAGAGGUGAAAUUCGUAGAUAUUGGGAAGAACACCGGUGGCGAAGGCGGCCAUCUGGACCGCAACUGACGCUGAGGCGCGGAAAGCGUGGGGAGCAA